GCACUCGCGAGCCACCAGGCUCCAGGCAUUGCUGCGGGCCUGCGAGGCCGGACCUCACACCCUCCCCACGCCUUUCCUGCGGAACGUCUCAGUCCAGUUCCCAGCGUCUCACUAUGAUUUUCACAUAGUUCGAGACUAAAGGCUCAGUUCAGCCCAGAGAGGGGCGCAUGGAGGACGCGUGGCCGACCUCAGGGAAGUGAGAUGAGUUUGGGGGCUCCGGGCGCACACAGAAAAGCCCCCCGACCCCGCAGCCGCCGACUCCCUUCCGCAAACACAGGCAUGGAAUCCAGUCCAGGUGCGGCCGGCUCUCGGCCUGCUCCCCAGGUUUGGGGUCCAGGCUCGAACCUCGAGGCGCGCGGAGGCACGGGCUCCCGGCGCGGAAGGGCACCGCGCGAGCCCAGGACCCCGACUCUCGGCCCCCCAGGCCCCAGCGCGCCUCUCCCGAGAGGCCCGAGCUCUCCCCCAAGAGAAGGCUUUACAAAUCGCCUGGCGAGAUCCAGGCAGCAGGAAGGAACGUGGUUUUUAAUGUGUGAGAAAUGUUUUGCUUCUCGUAGGGAACACAACCGCUUCGAGUUCCAGCACAUAGGGCCCCCUCCCGAGCACCCACAGCCACGGCCGCCUCUCGGGCCAGGCGCGGGCCCCUUCGCCCGGAUCCGGAUUUGGGGAGCACAAGUGCCCCCUGGGGCCGGCCCGCGCCUGACCCCGCGGGCCUGGGAAGGCAGAAGCGGCGGUCGCAGGGGCCCAGGAGGAAGUUGGAGCCUCGGGGCCUGGAAGCGGGCAGGUCGGCGCCGCGGGCCUGGCUAAAGCCACCCCGAGGCGCUGCGCCCAGGCUCGCCCGGGCUCGCGUCCCCCCAUGUGGCCGGCCGCCUGAGGCCCCACGUGGAAGGGGGUGGAGGAGGAAGGGGGCCGCGGCGGGACCCCCGCCUCCGCCGUCAGGCCCCCGCGCUUCUCCAGGGCCUCCCGGGCGGGGCCGGGCCAGGGAGUGCCGCCGUGCCCGGGCCCGCCCGCCGCGCCAGUGUCCACUUUCGCGAAGCCACUAAUCCCCCGAGAGAGCCGAUUUGUAGUGAGGAGUCGCUCUAGGGGGCGAGGCCGGCCCAUGUGGGGUUGUGUCAUUGGUUUGCAAAGAGACCCCGCCUUUCAAAAAAAAAAAAAGAGAAAGCGAGUGAGCGAGCCGCGACCCUCACCUCGCCUCCACCCUCGCUCCUGAGCAGCCGGCGGGCACCGGAGACGCGGCGGGCAGCUUCUUUCCCUCUCCUUUUCUCUCCGUUUUCCUCCUCCUUCCCCGGAGGAGAAAACAAAUAAAGAAGAGCAAAUAGCCGGGAGGCGCUCGGCAUCCAGGACGCUCCCUCCCCCGAUCCAAGUUGGAAUUAGCAUCCUCUUGGCGGGUUUCAUCACCGUAAAUGGUUUUGAACCAAUGAAGCUGGAUUCCCUUAAAGAGACGGACAGCCCAUCGUGUGGCCUGUAGAGCUCGUGGACAGAUUUAUUUGGGGAAAAAAUUGCUGAUCAUCUUGAUGUUUCCAGGAUUAUAUGCUUCUGAUUGGGAGGCAGCAGGCCAAGCAACAAAAUGCAAGAUUUAGAGAUAAAGCUAAUUAUCCUAACUAUGCCACCAGGGCUUUCUCCUCGCUCUUCCUGGGACCUGCAACAGCCAAGGUGCUCAGUGCUGGCUGGCCAAAGAGCAUCCUGCUGUACCCCCACUUUACAGUGAGCAUGCCCAGAUGUCGCCGAGAUCGUGCCUACUAGGUGUACCGGUUAAUAAUGGCGGAUUUUGUAA